UAAGAAUAACUACCCUUUAAUGCAUCUGUCCUUUUCUGAAAGGAACUCACAGGAAGAAGUUCCUUGAACAACAGUGUCUGCAAACCAUGUCAGAACACAGCCCAGGAGGAGAGGGUUAUCUGGAGCUCGUGCUGCAUCCUGAGAUGUUCGACUGCUAGAAACCAAAGGGAAUUUUUCCUCUCACCUUUGUAGCAUGGGGCUCAAUUCGCUUCCUAAAAUCAUCUGGGAAUUCCAUUUAACCAAUGCCCUGUAGCAUAAAGACCUAGAACAUUGGUGUAGUUUCUUCUGUUUCUUUGUGGGACCUACUCCAGCUGUGGUUCUUGGUUUCAGUGCCCAUUCAUGCAGCUAAGGGAAAACUACAGAAAAUUAUUUAUGUGUACCUUAAAACCAAGUCUUCUGCUUUACACAAAAUGAGACUUUAACAUUGCCUACAGUUGGUGUGAAUAGUAAAAGAAACUGGAAACAAAAAAGUCCUUUGGAGCGCAGUUCAAGGGGGUCUGACACACUACAAGAAAGCCACAUGACAUCUGCACAUUUUUCUGUAAGUUAGCACUGGAAAGAGGAUAGAAUUACCAGGAAAUGUUGCCCUGUGAUUUCUGCAUUGAAGUGGCUGCAUCUGUGCCACCUGUUGAUGACAUGAUUGGAGCAUUAGUUCUUGCUCUGCCUUAGCACUAUUGAUAACUCUGCUUAACAUCGCCACAGGGGAGGCUUUGUUGGAGGCUGCAGUCACUUUGCCUGAGCAAUGGUGUACAUUGGCUCCUCCAUUCAACCCUUUUUUUCUGACAUUAGCGCAUUUGAAUGGGCCACCAGUGAAGCCAUUCAGUGAGAACAUGCACCGGGACUCCUGGGUGGCCUGGGCCGCGCUGAGAACCCUUGUUAAUGGACUGCGAGCCACAGCCUAUUGAGGUCCAUGAACUCGGUGACCAAAGAAAAGUGAGACAAAGAUGUCCUUCGGCAGAACAUGUAGGUCAGCGCUGGACAAAGGCGGACAUCGACCAGUCAAACCUAUUUGAUUACUGAGCUGAAAAGGGGACACCUACUGCCAUGAGAGUGCCCCUCCCACAGGCCUGGGCCACCCUCACCUGCAUGCAGGCCUGCGACAGCCUGCCAGGCCCUGGCCCUGGCCACUGUGUCCCCACAUGUGAUAGCCUGCACAGCCCUGGCCCUGGCCUGUGACAGCAAACCCGUCCCUAGACCCUGUGUGCCAGCCUGCCAGGCCCUGGCCCUGGACCCGGCCCACGCAGGGCCUGGCUGGUGCUGGGGUGGCCUGUGGUCGGGGUAGUCACCACUGCAGGUUGCUCGGAGGCAUGCAUAUAAUCCUACUGUGUAUCAGUCAUGUUUAGACAUGUAUAGCAUAUAUGUAUUUGU